rnacentral:tRNA from 1 species
GCGCUCGUAGCUCAGCUGGAUAGAGCAACGGCCUUCUAAGCCGUAGGUCAUAGGUUCGAGUCCUAUCGGGCGCG